rnacentral:lncRNA from 10 species
GAGAUGGGGAGUUAGGUGCAGAGAGCGUUGGCACAGUGAGCACCGCAGCUCGAGUGGCUGCCUCAGACCCAGAGCCCGAGGAGACUUUAUACGGAGCCAGAACGACCCCGCGGGGUUCCAUCCUCCCAAGCAAUAGGCGGGAGUGGGAGCUGCGAGGAAAGCCGGCCCCUCCCCUCCCUCCAUCCAAGGCAGUGUGGGCUGUUUGUUUCAUGCCAUUCUGGGUGUGAAUCCUGAUGCCCACACAUGCCAGCUGCAUGCACUUGGGCAACUCAACUCACUCCUCGAGGGCUGUUUCUCGACUGCAGGGUGUUGGCCUCGGCCGCAUCUGUCACAGACUUGUCCUGAACCGACAGCGGCUGGCGC